rnacentral:lncRNA from 1 species
GGGCCCUAUAGCACUAGUUUUGCUCCAAAUUAUAGAAUAAUGCCUUGGCUUCUUAUAAUUUGUCCAAGAUCUAUUGAAGCAAUACUUUGUAGCAACUACUCUGGCCUAGAGAGUAUUUGCAUGAAUAACUAGUUGAGCUACCAACUUGCAAAGAUAGGCUUGCUUUUUAACAUCAAAAGAGGUCAGCCCAAGACCUCCAAGUCUUUUGGACAUGCAAACAGUGUCCCAUCAAAUUAAAUGAAACCCCC